rnacentral:piRNA from 1 species
UCACAAAACACACCUUGAUUC